GUUCUCCCAUGAUUACUAGGCUUUGAUCAUCCCUGAAGACACAAUGCCCCUGAGGACCUUUGACACCUGGUCUGAAGGGCAG